CACUUUUUCUUCGGCCAUUUCAAAUUUCAUUAGAACUAAGAUAUCCUCCUGGGACAUGCGUUUUAAGUUUAGGGUUUUUAUUAUUGAUUGAACUUGACAGCCUUUUACUAGCUUUUGAAUUGCUCAGUUGAACUUGUAUGGUUUCAGAAUUUGCGACAAGAUAUUACACUUCAAAAAUUAUUGUAGCUGAUAUAGUGAAUGCUGGCGUAAUUGAAGACUUCGAGAAAUUUUGGUCAAAAUGUUCAUGGGACGAUGAUUUGAAGUAUGCUAAAGCUGUUUGUGAUUACGUUUGUUACUAUUUUAGCUUAUAAAUUCAUCUAGACUUACAAAGGUUAAUUUUUCCAAUGAAUAUUCAAAUGAAAUAAAGGAUUUGUUGGGAAAAUUAAACAUAAUUCAAGAUACCCACAGGUAAUGUCUUUCUUCUGUAGUUAGUAUUGUCUUUCUUUUGUUGGAAAAAUUAAACACUAUUUUGCUAUUUUCAUGACUUUUGUCUGUAUUCUACACUACUCAUGGUCGUUAGUAAGGCCUUUAGUAAUUUAACUUGAAGUUUCAUGUAUAAGCUCAGUGGAAAUAGAUAUGACUAAUAUUGUAUUAUACGGCCAAUAUUUGUUGCAAUCCUUUAGGAAACAACAUCAUUAAUAAGCUUUAUGAUUUAUGUAUCACUUAUCUAUUCAAGGUUUAUCAUCAAACACAUUUAUCCCUUCCUUGUUCCUUCUUGCUCCAAAAUAAAGAUUUCUUAUGUUACUUGAAUAUUAUUGUUCUUAGGUCAAGGAUCAAACAUAUUUUCUAUCACAUCUCUCACAGAAUCAACUUAAAAGGCUUUUAUUCCCUCUUGGUUGUAUUCCAAAGGUUUGUUCAAGCUAAAUUUAUAGUCUUUAUUAUCAUGUAUUUUUUUUAGGUAUCUCUUAUGUUUCAGACUUCAAGGUGUAUUCCGAAAAGUUCAAGUUCAACUGUUGUAAAUUUGUAAGAUUUGGUACUAGCCCUCUAAGCUUGUACAGACAUAAACACCUAGUAGCUAACAUUGAUUUCAUUAAGUUUAGAAAUUUAUGUAUUUAAUAAAAGUUAAAAAUUGUAUUA